CCCCUCACUGCCGAGGCUUGUGCUCAGAAAAGACGCUUCCUGUCACUGCCGGCGCAAUCUCUGCUGACUUCUGACUCACGAUCGAUCGAGCAGAUAGAUGAGUGCCGGCCACCAGCAACAGCAGAUGGCUGUUGAGGGGACACUGAAGGCCAUGUGGAUGUCAUAGAAUGGCGCUCAGGAGCAGAUGGCAAAGGUCCAGGAGAAGAGCUUGACAGGCAUCUCGCCCCGUGUGUAAACAGCAGUGUUGAAGGAGGGAACCCUGUGGAGUUUUCCAGGAAGAUGUGCAGGGAAGAGCUGGACCACAGCAUCCUGUGAUGCCCUCUAGACACACAGCCCUGGAUCAUGUAGGAGAACUCUACAAGUCUCAGUACCCUCAACUUUUUACCAAGGUAGUGACAUCUUCCUUCUGACCAAGUGGCUGAUGUGAGCAUGCUCUGCACGUGCUGGGUAAGCAUGUUAACUCAACAGCAAUUAAUAUAAGCGAACAUUUUACUCAGUGUUCUCUACAAGGUGAGGCGGCUUAAGACC